rnacentral:rRNA from 1 species
AUUGAACGCUGGCGGCAUGCCUUACACAUGCAAGUCGAACGGCAGCACGGGUGCUUGCACCUGGUGGCGAGUGGCGAACGGGUGAGUAAUACAUCGGAACGUACCUUAUCGUGGGGGAUAACGCAGCGAAAGCUGUGCUAAUACCGCAUACGCCCUGAGGGGGAAAGCGGGGGAUCGAAAGACCUCGCGCGAUUAGAGCGGCCGAUGCCUGAUUAGCUUGUUGGUGGGGUAAAAGCCCACCAAGGCGACGAUCAGUAGCUGGUCUGAGAGGACGAUCAGCAGCACUGGGACUGAGACACGGCCCAGACUCCUACGGGAGUCAGCAGUGGGGAAUUUUGGACAAUGGGGGCAAGCCUGAUCCAGCAAUGCCGCGUGAGUGAAGAAGGCCUUCGGGUUGUAAAGCUCUUUUGUCAGGGAAGAAACACCGGCUCUAACACAGUCCGGGAAUGACGGUACCUGAAGAAUAAGCACCGGCUAACUACGUGCCAGCCGCCGCCGUAA